rnacentral:lncRNA from 1 species
AAAGUCAAAGGCUUAAGGCCUAGGUUUCUAAUUUGAAACAAAGUCAAAGUUUAAAAAUGAUUUUUGGCUUGGGUUAGCAUGGGGAGAAGAAGAGAAGGGCUAGUCCUAAAGCAUACAAAGAUAAGAGGGGAAAGAAAAACCCUUGGAGUUCCUUUUCUUAAAAUCAUAGAGAUGAUUCAAGAUGCUCAUUUCCUUUGGACUUAGCACACAACAAGCAAUCAAACAAUUUGGAU